rnacentral:lncRNA from 10 species
AACAAGCUCAAAGUUAGCUCAAAUGGCUCUUUGGGAAUUUCAAGGUCAGGUUUUGCUUUUUGUGCUCCCAGAAAACAACCACCUCUGAAUGUGAAUAAAACAGAUGCUGGAUUCUCCAAAGAUUCCUGGGCAAUAGCCAAUGGUCUUGGUUUUUGGCCCAGCAAAUAGAAAAUGGACAAUUUCUUUAUUCCAAGGAAAAGAACUAUGGAGAUGGUCCACUCAGCAUCAACUGGCUCCUGGAUGGAAGGGACUUGCCUUGUCUCAGAUAAGACUUUGGACUUGGACUUCUGACUUAAUGUUGAAAUGAGUUAGGACUUUGGAGGACUGUUGGGAAUGCAUGAUUUUGUUUUGAAAUGUUUGGAUAUGAGAUUUGGGAGGGGCCACGGGUGGAAUUACAUGGUUUGGCCAUGCACCCACCCAAAUCUCAUCUUGCAUUUUAGUUCCCAUAAUCUCCACAUGUCGUGGGAGGGAUCUGGUGGCAAGUGACUGGACUGUGGAGGCAAUUUCCCCCAUGCUGUUCUCAUGAUACUCAGUGACUUCUCAUGAGAUCUAAUGGUUUUAGAAGGGGCUUUUCCCCCUUUUCCUCAGCACUUCUCCUUGCUGCUGCCAUGUGAGGAAGGACAUGUUUGAUUCCCCUUCUGCUAUAAUUGUAAGUUUCCUGAGGGCUCCCCAGCCAUGUGGAACUGUGAGUCAAUUAAACCUCUUUUCUG